GAUGAACGCUGGCGGCGUGCUUAAUACAUGCAAGUCGAGCGAACAGACGAGGAGCUUGCUCCUCUGACGUUAGCGGCGGACGGGUGAGUAACACGUGGAUACCCUCCCUAUAAGACUGGGAUAACUUCGGGAAACCGGACCUAAUACCGGAUAAUAUAUUGAACCGCAUGGUUCAAUAGUGAAAGACGGUUUUGCUGUCACUUAUAGAUGGAUCCGCGCCGCAUUAGCUAGUUGGUAAGGUAACGGCUUACCAAGGCAACGAUGCGUAGCCGACCUGAGAGGAGGAUCGGCCACACUGGAACUGAGACACGGUCCAGACUCCUACGGGAGGCAGCAGUCGGGAAUCUUCGGCAAUGGGCGAAAGCCUGACGGAGCAACGCCGCGUGAGUGAUGAAGGUCUUCGGAUCGUAAAACUCUGUUAUUAGGGAAGAACAGAUGUGGAAGUAACUAUGCACGUCUUGACGGUACCGAAUCAGAAAGCCACGGCUAACUACGUG
rnacentral:rRNA from 1 species